GUUUGUCGUAUGGUUGGAAUCAGCGUCUAAAAAGCGCUUAUUACGCACACAGCAAAGACGACGUGAAGAUGUCAGCUCUACAACUUUGAAAUCGGAAAAAUCAAGAUCUCCAAAUUCUUUUUUGUGAGUUCCAAACACUUUUAGAAGAUGAUAUAGUGGAAACACUGACAGUGAAACAUUAUAACAGAGCAUAUGCAACAAAAUCGAUAGAAUAUGCGAAACAAAUAGAAAUACCAUUGUUUUGUAACCACUCAUGGACGAAGUACAGUUUACAGAAGCUAGAGUAUAGUUGUCAGCAUCCACAUCCUCACAAC